GAUUUUAGCAAUUACCUGUCAAAGUAAAAUCAACAGCUGAGUGGGGCAGAUCGAGCGGGGAGUCUGCUACGGGUAAGGUGAAAAGUGGAAUCUGUGUCUGGGUAUCGUCAUGCAGUUUGACUUUUUAAUUUGCGGUGGGAGAAAAAACGUGGUUUGCUGUCUGAGUAUCUGAUAUUCGGACAAAACUCAAACUCAAAUACGAGGGUCGAAGAUCUCUGGAAGCCCGAAUAAUAUUUGGUGAAUUGUUUCAUUUGCAUUUGCAUUUCCUCUGUUUUAAUAUAUAUCGACAAUUUUAAGUUAUAGGCUUUACAAUAACGAAGUAUAUUGUCUCCUUAAAACUUAAGAUUUCCUAAUUUUCAGGGAUGGAUUUGAAGCGAUUGUAGUGAUUUUUUGUUAAUAGGUGUGUAGUAUCUUUAUAUAUUAUCCUACCAAAAAUGAGCCUUAUAACUUUCAAAUUGUAGAUACUACAGAAUUCUAAAGGGGUAAAAUAUUCUCUCUCUAGAUGUUUUCGUCGCGAAAUCUACACACAUAACCAAAUUCUAUGAGACUCUUAGAUCCUAUAGCUGUAGAGAUUAAAAUACGGAUAGGUUUAGAUCGGAUGGAGACCAAGAAAACACUCUGGUACACACUUCAUAGGGUUUUAAGUACUUCACUCGCCCUGUCUCAUACAUAACGUAAACCAUUUACGACUGUAAUAUACCUUUUCUGCUCCUAGGUAUACAGAAAACCGAAGCUAAAUAAAAGUGUUGUCGUGACAAAGUCGUUAGAAGCUGCCGCCCCAUAAUAAUAGAUAGGAGGUCUCAAUAAGGGUUUAUUAUACUGUCCAGCGAUAGACAUGCACACACAUGGCCAGCCAGUGUCGCCACACAUACAGCCAACGAAAUUCGCGAGAACAAUUUUAAUGUAAAUAUUUAUUUAUAAGAGGCACAGUGCUGUUGUUGUUUUCUUGCAAAGAGCAGCACAGCGAAGAGAGAGAGAGAGAGAGAGAGAGUCAGUAAGAGCGGAAGAGAGCGACACGUUGUGGUGAUGACCACAUCAUACCGGUAAAUUGAUGUGAAAUAUACAUAUACUGAACAAAUGAUGUUUUUUUGUUGGCGCUGAGCAAAUUUCCAUAGAAAUGGACACCCACACUCACACACACACACGUAAACUAUUAGCAAAUUGAUGGACAAAUUUAGGCACAGCGGGGGGAGUUGUGUGUAGAGGGCCAAAGAGAGAUGGGCGAAAUUAAUAUUGAAUUCAACUUGUUGAUUAGAGGAGAGCAAAUACCACGAAAACACACUCUCCACGCACUGGCUAGACCAAAGGUGUAUGUGUGACAAGGUGGGGACUGUUCUUAUGCACUUGCUCUUUCUGUGUUCGGCGUUCUAUCGCAGAAAAGUACACUAUCGUUUUAGAGCACACGCGAGACCCCACCUCACCCUGUCUUAUCGCACCUUGCUCUAGCCCAGAAACACGCGCACUCACACACACACACGAACACCAGAUACAGUAGCAGCAGCAGAGGGAGAAACAGCUUUAACGACGCAAUUGUUGUCCCCCUUUUCAACUUGAAAUGAAUUAAUUAUUAUUGUAAUUAGUCUCCUCUAUUUUUUUUAAACACACUUUUUACUUAAUUCUCCUUUACCUAUUGG